CUCCUACGGGAGGCAGCAGUGAGGAAUAUUGGUCAAUGGAGGCAACUCUGAACCAGCCAAGUCGCGUGAAGGAUGAAGGUCUUAUGGAUUGUAAACUUCUUUUGCAAGGGAAUAAAGUGGGGGACGUGUCCUCCUUUGCAUGUACCUUGCGAAUAAGGAUCGGCUAACUCCGUGCCAGCAGCCGCGGUAAUACGGAGGAUCCGAGCGUUAUCCGGAUUUAUUGGGUUUAAAGGGUGCGCAGGCGGGAUGUUAAGUCGGCGGUGAAAUUUUGCAGCUCAACUGUAAAAGUGCCUUCGAUACUGGCUUUCUUGAGUGUGGAUGAAGUAGGCGGAAUUUGUGGUGUAGCGGUGAAAUGCUUAGAUAUCACGAGGAACUCCGAUUGCGCAGGCAGCUUACUAAACCACUACUGACGCUCAUGCACGAAGGCGUGGGGAUCAAACAGGAU
rnacentral:rRNA from 1 species